UACGGAGGGUGCAAACGUUGCUCGGAAUCAUUGGGCGUAAAGCGCACGUAGGCGGCCCAGCAAGUCGGGUGUGAAAGCCCUCGGCUUAACCGAGGAAGUGCAUUCGAAACUACUGAGCUUGAAUACUGGAGAGGAUCGCGGAAUUCCCGGUGUAGAGGUGAAAUUCGUAGAUAUCGGGAGGAACACCAGUGGCGAAGGCGGCGAUCUGGACAGACACUGACGCUGAGACGCGAAAGCGUGGGGAGCAAACAGG
rnacentral:rRNA from 1 species